rnacentral:rRNA from 1 species
GAUGAACGCUGGCGGCGUGCUUAACACAUGCAAGUCGAACGGAAAGGCCCUGCUUGCAGGGUACUCGAGUGGCGAACGGGUGAGUAACACGUGGGUGAUCUGCCCUGCACUUCGGGAUAAGCUUGGUAAACUGGGUCUAAUACCGGAUAGGAGCCAUCUUUAGUGUGGUGGUUGGAAAGUUUUUUCGGUGUAGGAUGAGCUCGCGGCCUAUCAGCUUGUUGGUGGGGUAAUGGCCUACCAAGGCGGCGACGGGUAGCCGGCCUGAGAGGGUGUACGGCCACAUUGGGACUGAGAUACGGCCCAGACUCCUACGGGAGGCAGCAGUGGGGAAUAUUGCACAAUGGGCGCCAGCCUGAUGCAGCGACGCCGCGUGGGGGAUGAAGGCCUUCGGGUUGUAAACUCCUUUCGCUAGGGACGAAGCUUUUUGUGACGGUACCUAGACAAGAAGCACCGGCUAACUACGUG